UGGGGAAUAUUGCACAAUGGGCGCAAGCCUGAUGCAGCAACGCCGCGUGCGGGAUGACGGCCUUCGGGUUGUAAACCGCUUUUAGUAGGGAAGAAGCCUUCGGGUGACGGUACCUGCAGAAAAAGGACCGGCUAACUACGUGCCAGCAGCCGCGGUAAUACGUAGGGUCCGAGCGUUGUCCGGAAUUAUUGGGCGUAAAGAGCUCGUAGGCGGUUUGUCGCGUCUGCUGUGAAAACUAGAGGCUCAACCUCUAGCCUGCAGUGGGUACGGGCAGACUCGAGUGGUGUAGGGGAGACUGGAAUUCCUGGUGUAGCGGUGGAAUGCGCAGAUAUCAGGAGGAACACCGAUGGCGAAGGCAGGUCUCUGGGCACUUACUGACGCUGAGGAGCGAAAGCGUGGGGAGCGAACAGGAUUAGAUACCCUGGUAGUCCACGCCGUAAACGUUGGGCGCUAGAUGUGGGGACCUUUCCACGGUUUCCGUGUCGUAGCUAACGCAUUAAGCGCCCCGCCUGGGGAGUACGGCCGCAAGGCU
rnacentral:rRNA from 1 species